UCUUAGCUGGGAAACUGCAAAACCAGUUGUGAUUGGAGUACGUGGAGCUCAUAUUUCCUUUUUCAGUGUAGUGAAAGAAGAGUUACUUCACAUCAUUGAUUUAUUUGUUGCAUUUGGAGCUGAAGUUGAGUUACGAUAUACUUUACAACUACCCAUGCUUCAUUAUCUGGUGCAACAAUAUCCUGAUGUUGAACUGGUUAGUAGACUUUGUGAAAGUGGGGCAAACAUUCAAAGAGAGGAUCAUCAUGGAAACACCAUUCUUCACGUUCUUGCUCG